GCUAAGGCUUCCUUAUUUUUUCUACCUUAGGAAAUAAACAUCAGGAUGCAAUUUUCUUCUUUUAGGGCUGAUAACUGGGAUAAGGAAGCCUGUGAUCCCCUUAGGAAAGCACGGGGCACUUUAACUUCUCAGUUUGCCUCUUGUGACCUUGAUCUUUGGAGAGCCCUCCUUCAGCUUUUGAUCAUCAUCAGCUCUGAUCCCAGGCAAGACUAGAAUGCUGCGAAGCCUCCACCUUUACUUUAAUUUGCAAAUCUGUUCUCCUUCUGUGCUCUGAAUUAUGGUGAAACGUAGCUUUCAGUUUAUUGGGUGACGUGGAGGAACUCAACUAAUCAGUUGGGUUAGUUUGUGGGAGAAGGAAGGAAUCACUGCAUUAAAGCAAAAUGCCGUUCCUGGUCUGGGGAAGAGCUGAUUUUUCCAUGAACGUUGCUGAAAUCCCUUAGUGUUUUCCAACCACUCCAGCAGCUGGAGACUUUCAGAAUAUGAAGGAUAUCUCGUGAGGCAAAGGUGUUGUCCACAACAUUAUUUUUUUUUCUGGGUAAAUGCUGAAGUUUAUUUAAAAAAAACCAUACAAAUAAACAGAACUAAGCAAACACAAAAAUUGUGUGGCUGCUAGAUAAAAAACAACAGGGGGAAUGAAGCUGUUGGUUGUUUUUUCCUCCAGUGGGAGGAGGAGAAGUCUCCCUUCUGACACAUGUGAUAUGUUCUGGAAGUUCUGAGCUUGAAGUGCAGCCGAGUGAAAUCUGAUGACUGGCUUUCACUUGCACUUCUGGGAGAGCAAUGCUCCCUUGCAGUGCCGUGUUCACGUUCUUUAACAAAAACCAUGCACGGCUGCUAAAAUUUAGACCUGUAGUGUUCCUACAGAAAGGUGGAUAUCUAAGAGCUUAGGAUUGUUUGCUAAGAAAAUAAACCACGCCCUUGUUGGUAGUGUGCUAGCUGUUAGGAUCUCCCCUAGAUUUCCUGAACUUUUUUGUUAUGGAAGACAUUGAUAAAUGUUAUCAAAAGGACAAUAAAACAA